GAGGACAAAGACUGCCUGGGUAGCCAGAAGUGCUGCCCACUGGGCUGCGGCCCGGCCUGCGUGGAGCCGGCGCAGGGUAAGGUCUCCGGGUACCGCCGGAGCCACGUGCACGGGGACAGCCACGGCUCGGCGGGGCGCUCAGGGCUGUGCUGCAGACAUCUGCCAUCUCCCCGCUGUGCCGGGGCCCUGCGGCGGCCACGAGCUGAGCUUCUUCUACAACGUCACCUCCGGGCGCUGCGAGACGUUCCCCUACAGCGGCUGCGGGGGCAAUGCCAACCGCUUUGGGACGCGGGCAGCGUGCCGCCGGGCGUGCCUGGGCCACGAGAAACCCAAAGCCGGGGAGUGUCCUGUGGUGCUGCCAGAGCUGG
rnacentral:lncRNA from 1 species